rnacentral:rRNA from 1 species
GAUAAACGCUGGCGGCGUGCCUAAUACAUGCAAGUCGAACGGACAUAGCUUGCUAUGUCAGUGGCGAACGGGUGAGUAAUACAUAAGCAACCUGCCUACAGGGACCGGGAUAACACUUGGAAACGAGCGCUAAUACCGGAUAUUUCUAAUCGUCUCCUGACGAAUGGAAGAAAGGUGGCUUCGGCUACCGCUUAUGGAUGGACCCGCGGCGUAUUAGCUAGUUGGUGAGGUAAUGGCUCACCAAGGCGAUGAUACGUAGCCGACCUGAGAGGGUGAUCGGCCACACUGGGACUGAGACACGGCCCAG